UCAAGAGAAACCGAGAGAGGGAGAGAGAGGACCUGGAGAGAGUUCUCGUGUCAGUUCCUAUUUCAUCGUUAGUUCUCCUCUAAACCUGCACGUAAAACUGAAGCUUUUGCCGAUGCCACUGUGGUAAACCGUGUCGGCGUGGAGUCGUUGUCAGCCAGGAGCAUCGUCACAAGACUUGUCCAGGGACAGUUUUUGGUCCAGAUAAUGUCUGGCUCUGCUGUUUCUUGUCGUAAGUGCCUAAACAACACUUAUUCAUUUUGUUAUAUCUGUGGCAGUUUCACCAUUCCCAGUCAAAGGGCGAACAUCAGCACAUUUGUAGAGCAAGUCUAUUUGGCAUAUUUCACAGUUAAACUUGGUGAUCAAGAUAAGUCUUGAGACCCUAAUAAGGUGUGCAAACAGUGUGUUGAGGGUUUACGGAUGUGGACAAAGGGAACACGUGAUAAGAUGCCAUUUGGUAUACCUAUGGUUUGGCGAGAGCCAGGAGAUCAUUUCAGUGACUGCUACUUUUAUAUAGUGAAAACUGCAGGAUAUAACAAGAAAAAUAAAUGUAACAGAGUAUCCUAGUCUACCAUCAGCUAUACGCCCAGUGGCUCACUCAGAUGAAAUCCCAGUGCCGGUUUUCAUUACACUACCCUCUCUUGAAGAAUAUGAUUAUGGUGUUGAACUAGGUGACCACAAUGAUGAAUAGUUUGAAAUUGAAGAGGACUGUUCGUAAGGGAUUUGAGCAGCAUGAGUUGAGUGAUUUGGCACGUGACUUGGGACUAUCGAAGGUGGCUUCAGAACUCCUAGCAUCAAGACUGCGUGAGAAAACUUACUUGAAAAAGGAACAAAGGUAUUGUAACUUCGAACCAGAGAAAUUGCAUUUCUGCUGUACUUUAGAACUGACAGUGGCUUUGUGUACUGCCAUAACAUACCUGGUUUAAUGGAGGAACUGGGAAUUCCAAUCUAUAACUCAACUGAAUGGCGACUAUUCAUCGAUAGCUCAAAGCGGAGCUUAAAGUGUGUCCUUCACAAUGGCAAUAUAUUUGGGUCAGUCCCAAUUGGCCAUUCAGUUUCUCUUUGUGAAGAAUAUGCAGAUAUAACGAGAGUCAUUGAGUUGUUGCAAUAUCACCAACACAAUUGGGUCAUCUGUGUUGACCUUAAAAUGGUAUGCUUUCUUCUUGGUAAGCAACUCAGAUACACCAAGUAUCCCUGUUAUCUGUGCAUGUGGGACAGCAGAGUUCGUGAGAGGCAUUGGGUGGAAAGGAAUUGGCCUCCAAGAUCUGCCCUAAAACCAAGUGAUCCAAACAUUCUACAUGAGCCGCUUGUGGAUAGAAAGAAUAUUAUAUUCCUGCCUCUGCACAUGAAACUGGGUCUGAUGAAGCAGUUCAUUAAAGCUUUGCCAACUGAAGGAGACUGUUUCAAGUACCUCAUUUUGGCAUGUCCUAGCCUGUCAUUUGAAAAAAAUAAAGGCCGGUGUGUUUGAUGGUCCACAGAUUCGGCAGCUCAUCAAAGAUGAACAUUUCAUCAGGACAAUAUCAGAAGUCGAAAAAAAUGCUUGGUUGCAAUAUGAGCAUCAAGGUACAUUUUCUGCAUAGCCAUCUUUCUAACUUCCCGGAAAACCUUGGUGCAGUCAGUGAUGAGCAAGGUGAACGAUUCCACCAAGAUUUAAAGGUCAUGGAAGGAUGGUAUCAGGGUAGAUGGGAUGUGGGAUGUACAUAAGAUGGCUGACUAUUGUUGGAGCAGCCGGCGGGAUUGUCCUAACACUGAACACUCCAGGAAAAACUAUAAGCGUAAAUUUUUACCUUAACCGCUUACCCAAUUAAUUUUCAAAUGUUUUACUGUAAAAAAAAUGUGACAGAGUAACAAUAAAUCAUUUGUAUGAACAAAAGAAAUUUAAAUAAACAGUACAUUCAAGUUAUUAUUUCAUUGUAUGUACAAUUUGUAUGUUUUUUGACAAAAAAUGGAGGGUACCCUAUAUCAUAAAAACAGGAUGUGAUAGCAAAAAACUGGGGUCUUUUCUGGAUUCACCACCCAAAAAUUAGUAAAAAACAAGUGUACAUCUAACUCAU